CCGCCUUCCUGGUGCCCCGCGCGGCGAGAGGGAGAGUGCCACUUCCUGUCACAGAGAAGCAGUGUGGUGUGGGUGAAAGUACAGCCACCCGGGAGCCAGGAGAUGUGCCACCAGCCAGCUCUGCCACCCGCUGAGUCACGUUGAGUGGUCAUUUCACACUCUGGUUCUCAGAAUUCCUGGUGGAAUAGAGGCUAGCUCACUCACCUCUGUUGACGGUGGGAUAAAGGACACAGUCUUCAUUCCAUGAGGCCACAAACAUUUGUUGAAAAUCUGGGCCAGGAUUCGAAAGAUAAUUCGUGCCUUGCCCACAAUAUUGCUGGGAGAAAGACAUCCAGAUGAGCAACGUGAUAAGUGGUUCAACAGUAACCUUAACAGGAUUCCUGGAGGAGGGAGGAGUUAGUUCUCAAGGCAAGUUCAUCUGGGUUGUUCAGAGAGGGAAGGUUUCAUAUCGGAUGAUGUUGGUGCGAAACCUCGGAAGGCAACUAGGAUGUCAACUGACAAGGAUGGGCAAGAGUUCACACCAAGCAGAGGCUGCGUGGCCACAGUGUGGAGCCCUGGAAACUCCUGGCACAUUGGGGUCAUGAGUGGUUUGUGUCAUGGGGGCUUGGGAAGUGUGUACAGUGCAGCGACAGGUGAUGACACAAGAAAGGUGGACCAGGCCCAGGAGCCACAGGGCCCUGAGUGCCAGGCCAAGGAGCAUAGGCUCCCCACCAGGCAGUAGUGUCCCAGCUGCAUCCUGAAGCUCCAGGAUUCUUGUAGCUGUUGUGGGCCCCAAAGGGGGUGGGGCUGGAGGACCUUAGGGGGGCUCUAAGACCUCUGUCCUUGCUUUACCCAGAGCAGUCAGAUUUUAUCUCUUUUAUGUCCUGGGGCUCCUGGUAACAUCCCAAUGGAAAAAUUGGAGCUUCUUCUGCUUAUAAAAAAGGGUUGAAAUCCACUAUGUAGACAGCAGUAAGGAGUCAAUAAAAGUCUUGAAGCCAAAAAAGUGAACUGAUUGGGUCUAUAUUUUAGAAGGCUCCCCCUGGCAGCAGAGUGGAAGAUGAAUCAGGCAAUAAAGGACGGAAACUGGAGACGGCACCAGUCAGGAGCUCAGUUCAGUCAUCCAGCCGGCAAGAAGGAAAUGUAAACCUGGACAAUGGCAAGGGCACAGGAAGGGAUGGGUUCAAGGGACAGUUCAGAGAUCGAGGGACCAUGACCUGAAGGUGGAUUCGAUCUGGAGAAAGAGGGUUUCUAACCCGGGUGCCUGGGCAGAUGGUGAGUGGCAGUGACGAGGUGUCAGUCUUUGGUGAUCUGGAAAACAGUGAUCUUGGAGAUCAGGUGCAAGAAGCUGUAACAACAAGUGAACCCCACACUGAACAGCAAACAGAAUGUCUGGAAGAAACUGACAAAACUGGGAAGAGGAACGUUUCCUCCGAGGACCUGGUGAGGAGGCUCUGGUCCUUGGAGCAAGGCAGCCGAGCAAGACAAGCCCUUCUCACCUGCACCUUUAUAUGUGAUGCAGAUAUGGAGGAUGCCAAGCUGGGAAGCCUCAGUCAGCUCUUCCACGGGGCAGGUGACAGAGAUGUUUUGCAAAUGCUAAGCGGCUAAGCAUUCCCUUGAUACUAAGAACAAUCAGCCUCCUUUUCCUUUGGCAGAAAAAUCCUCAGUGUAGUUCACUGGAGGCCUCAGAAUCUGGGCCUUCUGCCAAGAGAAGACCUGGGCCUCUUUUCCUCAUUUGUCGGAGACUUGGAAAACACAGCAAAGUGUGCUCUGCCCCACAAUUUGAAUGAAUCUGUGGAACGGCAAUGUGUUCUCGGCCCUUCCUCAGAAUGACUCAGUUGUGGUGAUUUCACAUUCAAUCUCUUAGCAAGGCUCCUAGUUCUUGGAUGGAUCAAAGGGGGGAAAUAAGCAAGAGCUGCUCUGUGUGACACAGCAGACCAUGGCCACACGUGGGUGUGUGCCCUUGAACGUGGGUGGUUCAAAUUGACACGCACCAUGAGUAUAAAAUACAGGGUUUCAAAAACUGACUAUGAAAAAAAUGUAAGCUAUCUCAACACUUUUUUUAUCUUGGUUACUUGUUGAGAUGGUAUUUUGAACACAACGGGCUAAACAAAAUAUAUUAUCAAAAUUCACUUCAUAUGUUGUUUUAACGUGGCUACUAGUAAAUUUAACAUUGCAUACACAUGUAAUGUGCAUCACAGUAUAUUUCUAUCAGACAGCUUGGCUCUGGACAAUUAAGGUUCCCCCAUACUCACGUUGUAAGCGAAAGCUUUCAACAUCGAGGUCAUUUUUAGUUUAUAUAAAUUUAUUGCUUUGAAAUCGCCUUUUCUGAGAAGAUAAUAUUUGGUCAGUUUUUUUUUUCUCAGUGGCCAGAUGAUAGGGUAAAUUAUUAAUUUUCAAAUUUCAGCUUUGCAGGACAAUUUCACAGGAAGUCAGUUUUUUUAUGCCCCACCUCCACUUCUUCCUUUCUACGCAGAAAAACAGAUGCCCCGAAGUGACAGCAUCUGAGAACACAGAACAGGGCCACUCUCGACAUGUGCCUAUGAGAUACAGACUCAUUAAAAAUACCAGACCCACAAAACAGGAAAAAAAGCACUAUGCAGAUACCCAGGGCAGUAAAUGGAAAACCCACGUUAAUGCAGUGCCAAGAAUGAAAAUCGUAGCCUACAAACUUGUUUUUUGAGAAAAAGAAAAUAGUGGGCUAAGAGCCUGGAAAUGAGAAAGUUAAGUUCCCACAGAAGCAAUCAUUUACC
ensembl:lncRNA